AUGGGAGACAUUAGUGAAGACAUGUCAGACGGGACUCACGGGGAAACAUUCUGCAUAAUGAGCACUUUUACUUUCGGUACUUUAAGCAUAUUUUUGAUGCAAAUACUUUUUUUUUAUUUUACGUAAAGCUGUGUGCAUAGUUUCUGU